CUCACAGACACCAGGACUGAUGAGGAAGAAACGAGCAGCUCCUUCUCUCCCACAGUUUCCUCGACUCAUGAAGGUGGAAAGUGUCUGUAAGUGGACCUGAAGUGAGUUCAGCAGGUAAAAUCGACAGUUUGAUUGUAAUCUGAGUUCACGUCAUCAGUGAAAAAUGUCUGGAAUGUCUGAACCGGUCUGACAGCUUGGAUCCACUCAGCUCAGACUUGGACUGUGAAGUUGUGAGGGUGUGAUGGCGUCCUCAGCUCAGACGCUCACAGACACCAGGACUGAUGAGGAAGAAACGAGCAGCUCCUUCUCUCCCACAGUUUCCUCGACUCAUGAAGGUGGAAAGUGUCUGUAAGUGGACCUGAAGUGAGUUCAGCAGGUAGAAUCGAGUUCACGUCAUCAGUGAAAAAUGUCUGGAAUGUCUGAACCGGUCUGACAGCUUGGAUCCACUCAGCUCAGACUUGGACUGUGAAGUUGUGAGGGUGUGAUGGCGUCCUCAGCUCAGACGCUCACAGACACCAGGACUGAUGAGGAAGAAACGAGCAGCUCCUCCUCUCCCACAGUUUCCUCCACACAUGAAGGUGGAA